CACGUAGGGCGCAAGCGUUGUCCGGAAUUAUUGGGCGUAAAGAGCUCGUAGGCGGUCUGUUGCGUCCGCUGUGAAAACCCGGGGCUUAACCCUGGGCUGGCAGUGGAUACGGACAGACUAGAGGUAGGUAGGGGAGAAUGGAAUUCCCGGUGUAGCGGUGAAAUGCGCAGAUAUCGGGAGGAACACCGGUGGCGAAGGCGGUUCUCUGGGCCUUACCUGACGCUGAGGAGCGAAAGUGUGGGGAGCGAACAGG
rnacentral:rRNA from 1 species